GUCCUCAUGGAGGAUCUGGAGGCCCCCAAUGUCAUCCUGGAGAAGUAUGGUGAGGAAGCCGGAGUCCGAAUGCCGGCUUGUCCCGAUGGCGAGCUCAGGCUGGGGGCAGGGAGGGUAGUAGUGGCAUAGUAUGAUUUGCCCCUGGUUGCAUUCUAUGUCUGUCAGGUAGCUCGGUUUGAGCCCAAGGCCCUCCGAGAGCAGCUCGAACAGUGUGUUCCCCAAAUUCUUUACUUCGGCUUAUUACCGGCAGAUCUCCGGCAAGUCGGCGGCGGGCGGCGGGUCGGGCGCCAUGCGGAGGUAGAGCGUGUCGCGCCAGUUGGCCACCGGCGACUGGUACAGGUCGAAGUUGCAGUGGUACUUGACGGCUCUCCCGGGCUCGCGCGAGUAGAGCCGCGCCUUGUCGCUGCCCUCGCCGCCUCCGGACUCGUGGAACGCGCGCGCCGCGCCCGCCGCGGCGUCCAUCGCGGCGAGGGGAACCCCGUGCCCCGUCACCUGGAAGAACCCCCACUCCGCCGCCGCCCGCCGGACGGCGUCGACCACGGCCGCGCGGCUCCCGCUGAUGUCGAUCACCGGGACGGUCGUCGUGGUCGUGGCCGCGGACGAUGGCGCCGUCGCCUCCGGUGGUUCUUGAUCACCAUGGACGACGUUGUGGAAGAUGCGGGGGAGGUGGGUGGCGCCCGACGCGACGAGGCCGCGGACGCCGGAGAGGGUGGCGUCGAGCGCGCGGAGCUCGGCGGUGCGGUCGUAGGC
rnacentral:sRNA from 1 species